rnacentral:rRNA from 1 species
GUGUCAGCCGCCGCGGUAAAACGUAGGAGGCGAGCGUUAUCCGGAUUUACUGGGCGUAAAGCGCACGCAGGUGGCAGCGCAAGUCGGACAUGAAAGCUCCCGGCUUAACUGGGAGAGGUGGUUCGAAACUGCGUAGCUUGAGGUUGGGAGAGGGACGUGGAAUUCCCGGUGUAGUGGUGGAAUGCGUAGAUAUCGGGAGGAACACCAGUGGCGCAAGCGGCGUCCUGGCCCACACCUGACGCUGAGGUGCGAAAGCGUGGGGAGCAAACAGGAUUAGAAACCCCGGUAGUCC